AUACGUAGGGUGCGAGCGUUAUCCGGAUUUAUUAGGUUUAAAGGGUGUGUAGGCGGGAGCCUAAGUCAGUGGUGAAAUCUCACAGCUUAACUGUGAAACUGCCAUUGAAACUGGGUUUCUUGAGUAUAGUUGAGGUAGGCGGAAUGUGUAAUGUAGCGGUGAAAUGCAUAGAUAUUACACAGAACACCGAUUGCGAAGGCAGCUUACUAAGCUAUUACUGACGCUGAUGCACGAAAGCGUGGGUAGCGAACAGGAUUAGAUACCCUAGUAGUCC
rnacentral:rRNA from 1 species